rnacentral:rRNA from 1 species
CACGUAGUUGGCCGCACCUUCUUCUGCAGGUACCGUCAGUUUCUUCCCUGCUGAAAGCGGUUUACAACCCUAAGGCCUUCUUCCCGCACGCGGCGUUGCUGCAUCAGGCUUUCGCCCAUUGUGCAAUAUUCCCCA